CCUACGGGUGGCAGCAGUGAGGGAUAUUGGUCAAUGGGGGAAACCCUGAACCAGCAACGCCGCGUGAGGGAAGACGGUUUUCGGAUUUUAAACCUCUGUCCUCUGUGAAGAUAAUGACGGUAGCAGAGGAGGAAGCUCCGGCUAACUACGUGCCAGCAUCCGCUGUAAUACGUCGGGAGCAAGCGUUUUCCGGAUUUACUGGGGGGAAAGGGUGCGUAGGCGGGUUUGCAAGUCAGAAGUGAAAUCCAUGGGCUUAACCCAUGAACGGCUUUUGAAACUGCAGAGCUUGAGUGGAGUAGAGGUAGGCGGAAUUCCUGGUGUAGCGGUGAAAUGCGUAGAGAUCGGGAGGGACACCAGUGGCGAAGGCGGCAUGCUGGGCUCUAACUGACGCUGAGGCACGAAAGCGUGGGUAGCAAACAGGAUUAGAUACCCCUGUAGUC
rnacentral:rRNA from 1 species